GCCGCGUGGUCCUGGUUUGAUCCGGUGAUCUCGACGGUUGAAGCGUUUGAAGCUGGUUCGUACGCGAAGGCUUUGUGUCGGUGUGUGUAAGCGCACUUACACAAGAAUGUACUCCCCCAGGUAGCUAGCUAUGCACACAUUUCCAGUGAUCAUUUGGUUCUGGAGUUCCAGAUAUGUGGUUUUUGCAGGCUUUUUGACGCGAUCAGUCCUCGUCCAAACUGUGCUGCUCCUGCUGCUGCUGCUGCCCGAGAUGGGAUGAUCCAUCUGGUGGGAUUUCGCUACUGCGGCUCUGUGCUCCCCCCGCUGCAACGCUCAGAUAUGGUGAAAGUGACCAAAAGUUUUAUUGCGAGCUACACAGAUGGAAUGAAUGUAACACUACGAAGCAGCAUCUCUUCCCCCCCGCGGCUUGAUAUAACAAAUUAUAUCGGAACGGAAAAGGCCUGCGCGAGAGGAAAUGUUUAAGCCUCUUGGAUCGUCGAGCAAAAAAAAAAUGGUGCCUUGUGACAAGAGCUCCAUCUGAAGGUGUUAGUAGCGGCCCAGAACCAGGUACCUUGUCUCAAAAUGCGCUGGGCCGUGGAAGUUAUUUGCUAAUUCAUGUGUACGUUUCUUUUUCUCCUUUCGGUGCUGCAGUAGAACGCGCAAAACUGGACCUUUCUUCGCUUGGCCAGACUUAAACACCGACCUCCUGGCUGCUUCGAGAUGGUCCUGCUAUCGAGGCCUUCGUCCGUGAAAGUCUGGCUUUGGCCUACUUGCCGGCUUUGCUGUUGGUGCUGCUGUAGAAACUGUUGCUGAUCCUGCUGGCUUCGCUGGUGCUGCCGCUGCUGCUGGAGAAGCUGGCUUUGCUGCUGGAGGAAUUGCUGCUGCUGCUGCUGCUGCUGCUGGCUUUGCGCUCGAGCCGAUGGAAAAUUGAAGCUGGCACCUCUAGCUCCGAGGCCAGAGAGAAGCGAUUGCUGCUGCUGCUGCUGCUGCUGCAUUUGCAAGUGAGGCAUAGUCUGGUACAGCGCCUGCGUGAACGAUCCGGGGCGCUGGCUGCCGAAAGGAUUCACAGCUCCAGCACCUCCUCCGCCUCCGCCGCCUCCAACUUCCGUCAAACUCCUCAGCGUCGCCGGACUGUGGAACGCUCCACUCGCUUCUUCACUGGACACUUGCUGUUGGUGCAGCGGUAGUAGCUCCUGCGAGAGAAGAAAGAAAACUUGGUGAUCGAUCGGAAGAAAAAUCCAGUUUUUUGCUCACGUACCUUGGAUGGGGGCUGUUCUUGACGGCCUUUUGCCCGUAUUUUCGCCACCGAAAUCCAUCGUCCAUGAUAUCCACGUCGCUGCGCGUCUGGAGAGCGUAGCGAGGCUCGCGGUUUCGCUUGGGACCUUUCUUUGGAGGCUUGGCUCUGGAAGCAAACGAUUGACAGGAAAAUUUGGUGAGAGAUCUGUGAGAUGAGAGUUCCAGUCAGGGAUGAAAUCCAAAUGCACAAAUGCCCAGGACAAAAACAACUCCAUGUUUUCAUCAUUGCCUUUGGAAGCACGAAAAUCUUCCCUGAAAAA